CAGCAGCCGCCGCGGUAACACAGAGGGUGCGAGCGUUAAUCGGAUUUACUGGGCGUAAAGCGUGCGUAGGCGGCUUUUUAAGUCGGAUGUGAAAUCCCUGAGCUUAACUUAGGAAUUGCAUUCGAUACUGGGAAGCUAGAGUAUGGGAGAGGAUGGUAGAAUUCCAGGUGUAGCGGUGAAAUGCGUAGAGAUCUGGAGGAAUACCGAUGGCGAAGGCAGCCAUCUGGCCUAAUACUGACGCUGAGGUACGAAAGCAUGGGGAGCAAACAGGAUUAGAUACCCGCGUAGUCCCUGUCUCUUAUAC
rnacentral:rRNA from 1 species